rnacentral:lncRNA from 10 species
AGUUUAUAUAAUAUGCAUAAUGUUAAUAUUUAUUAAUAUUUCAGGGACAAUGGGAGUCAUGAAUAUGGAGAGACAAAACUAGAAUGAACCCCAAGGUGCUGCAUCAGAAUUGAAGAACAGAAGUGGCCCUGUUUCGUGCCCAGAGCAGAAGAGAACGAUGAAGAGCUCUGCUCUCCCAGGUCUUCCUGGUCUGUGUGUGUCCAGGUUUUGAGGGCCUCUCACAUACACGGCUCUGGACCACCCUUCCUUGAAGCAGCAUGACCCAUCUGGAUGUCCUCCUCAUCUCAGGAAUUUUCUAAUAAGCUGUCUAAAUCCAGAGAUCCGACCACAGAACAAUGAAUGCCAAAGAUGAGUUCUAAAGAUGCGAGUACUUUCUUUCUAAACGGACGCUGCUUUGUGUAUGGCUCUGCUCCUGGGGGCAGACGCGGCAGGCUAAGCCCUGCGGAGGAGGAGGAGACAGGGACCCAGAGAAGUGAAGAGGCGUUGCCUUAGGUUGCACAGCAGAUGACGCCUCUCAAGAUGGACCCUAGGUUGUCUGACUCCGUCUCACAGCUUUGCCCCAUUUAUCAUGAAGAUGAACGCUGGUAACACUGCUACCUACGAGCUGAGCUUGCACGCACAUUCCUGGUGUGUACAUGCAUGCGUGCACGCUCACGCAAUGUGCUAAGUGCACAGGAAGGAGACCAGAGCCCUGAGGCGUUCUUUUGAAGUCUAAGUACUGGUGUUUCGAAAGUUUAAUGAAACCUACUAGACUCUGAGCAAAAUUCGUUUUACGUUAACCUUAAUGAAAAGUUUAAUUAAGUUCUGACA